rnacentral:rRNA from 1 species
UACGUAGGCAGCGAGCGUUGUUCGGAGUUACUGGGCGUAAAGAGUGUGUAGGCGGUUUGCCAAGUUCGGUGUGAAAUCUCCCGGCUUAACUGGGAGGGUGCGCCGAAUACUGGCAGGCUAGAGUGCGGGAGAGGAAAGCGGAAUUCCUGGUGUAGCGGUGAAAUGCGUAGAUAUCAGGAGGAACCCCUGCGGUGUAGACGGCUUUCUGGACCGCCACUGACGCUGAGACACGAAAGCGUGGGUAGCAAACAGG